UUAAGGGGUGCUGCCUUUCCGCCCAUCACGACGUGGGAAGACGGCUGAGAUGAUACCCUCUGACCUGACCGGGAUAAUGCCCGCGUAGGGAAAAGUUUUUG
rnacentral:ncRNA from 1 species